CAGUAGCCGCGGGAAUACGAGGGGAGCUAGCGUUAUUCGGAAUUACUGGGCGUAAAGCGCACGUAGGCGGCUUUGUAAGUUAGAGGUGAAAGCCCAGAGCUCAACUCUGGAAUUGCCUUUAAGACUGCAUCGCUUGAAUCCAGGAGAGGUGAGUGGAAUUCCGAGUGUAGAGGUGAAAUUCGUAGAUAUUCGGAAGAACACCAGUGGCGAAGGCGGCUCACUGGACUGGUAUUGACGCUGAGGUGCGAAAGCGUGGGGAGCAAACAGGAUUAGAUACCCGUGUAGUCCCUGUCUCUUAUAC
rnacentral:rRNA from 1 species